rnacentral:rRNA from 1 species
UACGUAGGGGGCGAGCGUUGUCCGGAUUUAUUGGGCGUAAAGAGCUCGUAGGCGGCUCAGUAAGUCGGGUGUGAAAGCCCCGAGCUCAACUCGGGGAGGCCACUCGAUACUGCUGUGGCUAGAGUCCGGUAGGGGAGCGUGGAAUUCCCGGUGUAGCGGUGAAAUGCGCAGAUAUCGGGAGGAACACCAGCGGCGAAGGCGGCGCUCUGGGCCGGAACUGACGCUGAGGAGCGAAAGCGUGGGGAGCGAACAGG